GUUGCAGUGGUGGGGGAAGGGGGUCUGCUUCAUGAGACAGUGGGGUGGACAUUACUGGUCUCCUCUACCUUUACAGUGGACUUUAGCAUUUUCCUAAAAGUCUGAAGUCUGUUAUAAGGUACUAGGGAGUGGUUCAUCAAGGGAUACCUUAAAGAUGUGCACGAUUUGUGGAUGCUUCUGGACUAAAUUUCUAAUGCAUGGAAGUGGAUUUUAUGGCCUGACUUGCAGGGGCACACUGUAUUAGAAUUGGGAUAGAGAAAUGGCUCUGUGUCAUCUAAAAUGAGUCAGACAUUUCACUCCUAAAGGAAAUUGAGAGAACGGAGUAAGAUUUAAAAGUGCUCAAUUAAGUAGAUGUUGUUUUCACUGCCAGCUACUCAGCCUUUUUAUUCCUUAGUUUUUCAGUUGCAAAGUAAAAAGUUUUCCUUCAAAACUUAAAUUUCUCCUGGAAAUCUUUCCAGUAUUCCUUACUAUUCCUACCCCCUCCCCCCCCCACCUUUUUUUGGGGGGGGGGGAGGAGGGGAGGGAGCAGGGAGAGAUACUGAAAUUAUUUUGAUCAUUUAUGAUUUGUUACUUCCUUUUUGGACUGAAUGAACUACAAACUUUUAUCUCUGCAUCUGUUUGUCUUGGUCUUUCCAGAUUUUUGCAGACUAGCAAGAAGAAACUUUGUGACUUUGUCACAUUGACAAAGUUUUACAAAGUUCCACAGUGGAGAAAGGUGGGAAAAAAAAUACAAAGAGAACGGUAAAAUGAAAGCAUAAGAAGGACAGCUUCAACAUUCACCUUGCCAAAUGAGAAACUUUGAAAAUGAGCUAAGAUGUAGCUUUUCUGGCACUAAGGAAGAAAAGCUGAAUUCUGCCACUGAUGUUUUUUUUUGGUGUGUUCUUCUGUACGAGCCAGUACAUAUGUAUCUGCUGUCAGAAUUUGGGCCACUGGGCCAUACUGCUUUUCAAAGUGAAAUGUCCUUUUCUGAAACGAGUUCCAUGGUGCCUUCAGUGGCAUCCUCCAGUCCUGUUUUAUAUCCACAUUUGAAAAUAGACCAUUUCAAUGAACAUAAAAAUUCCCAGAAAAAUACCCAAGUGUUGUAUGUACAAAUUAAGAAUUUGAGCAGAAUUAUUUGCUUUUAAAUGAAGACGGAUUUCACCUUGCUGUUUCCAAUUAGAAUAAUAAUAAACAUUUCCCCUAAUGAUAACAACGGGCAAUAGUGUUAAAGUGGAAAUGCAAAAGCUUUUUCUUUUGGUACAGUGUAAGUUACAGUAUCAUUAAAUAUAUAAUCAGCUCUUUAUUGCUUGUGUUAUUUUUGAGGCACUUAAAUGAAAAGUUGAUUUGUCUGUUAUUAGAACUCAAUAAAUGGUCCUUUAAUAGUCAUAGGGUGUUUUAAUGCUUUACAGAAUCAUUGUCAUUAAAUUGAACACAAGAGAGUGAACUUAAAUAAAAGCGAAGUGGAAAAACUCAAUAAAUCAGGAUAAUACAAGGUUUUCUUUGUGUUGUCUGAAUUGUGCUGAAAUGGUUCUGCCUUUUAAGCUGCUUUUCAAAGGCCAAAGCUGCAUAAUUGCUUUAGGGCUUGAUUAUGCCUGCAUGAGUCAGCUGUUAGACUGUGGCCAUUAAAAGACACUUCUUUUUUCUCUAGAGAAAUUUGAGAAUGGAUUUUGCUGUGGCAUUGGUGGACUUCCCCCUGAAACCAUGGCCAGCUUUUCAUGGCACUGUAGACAUGCAGCUGGAUGGGACCUGUAGAAGUCACCACAUUCUUCUGGCUGGAAGGAAGCAGGAUGAACUACAUCAUAUCGCAGCAGAAGUUCUAGAGAAUUACAAAGACAUGAUGAUGGAUCUUGCUGUACUUCAUUGGAGCUUACUGUACUUUGUUGGAACUCAGCUAGAAGGAUUCUUCUCAUCAGCUUUCGUGAUGUGCUGAAUCAUAAGAAAGAAAGAAAGGACUAUGGCCGCAGCAGACCAAAUGGCGGAGAGGACAGCCUGAACUCCAGCUCAUGGAGCUAAUAGGAACAGUUUCUGCAAAGCUUUGACUAUGUUUUCUGGGAGCUGACAAUACAAGACAGACACAAUUUUUUCAUCAGUAAUCCUCUUGUAGUGCCUUAAAUAUCUAAGAGUAAAAAUGUAAAGGAAGACAACAUACAGUUAAAAGCCAGGUACCCUAUACCAAGUUCUCCUUACAGCCAGUGUCACAACUUAAUGACCUGCAUGCCAUUUAUCCUCCACUCCCAGAUUGCUGCUCCAUUUGUCUUGGUCACAUACAAGCAUUGUUCCUCUUCUCCUGCUAUAAUUGCUGCCAAGUUUUGGGCCUGAUCUGCCAAAGCUGAAAUAAAUUCUCCUUUUGUCUUAGGUUUGUAUCAGGAUCUCUGGGACAGGGAAGGGAAUUUAAUCUUUGGAUUGCAGAAGAGAAAAGCCAAACUACCAAUAAACCUGGACUCUUUCAACUGAUGACUAUUGUGGGAGUGUAUAUCGGACCCCAUGCUGUCACAGAUCACAUAAGACUUUUUCUCCUUCCUUUUUCCUCUUUCAUCUAAUUUGAGAAAAGCAGAUAUUUUUCUCUCUUGAUGCAGAAGUAGCACAUUUUCUGUCUUCCAGCAGCAUACAAAGCAAAGCCAUUAAAACAGCCAAAGACCAUCAAAAGGCAGCAUGGCAGGGCAGUAAAAAUGAGUCCACCUCUGUCCCGGAAAUAGCCCAAUUUUAUUUCCUACCUGCCACAUUGCCAUAACAAAUGGGAACACCUUUGACCAUAUCUACAGACCUGUGGGAAGGGCAUUCCUUAUUUCUCCACACAGUUCAGCACGAAAAUUGAGCUUAGCCUCUGUGCAGUCAAAGCUCUUUUAUUUAUUUUUUUUCCUUUCUGCCCCCUUGUCCAUUAUUAAUCAGGAGAUUUAUUAUUGCUUGGGCUGGAUUUUUAUUGCAUUAGCUACUCAGGGUCAGCACUUGGCUGCUCACAGUCUGCAGUAAAGCACCUGCCCUCUCUGCUAGAGGUAAAAUCUGAUCUUAAAUGAAAACCCAGCCUAAAGAUAAAGAUAUUUUCUCCAUUUAUUAUUCUUACUGUACUUAUCCCAUACAAUUCUGUGAACAUUGGAGGCUGUAAAGUCAGUCUGGGGGCUGGACAGUCAGAAUCUUGCUUUUGAUGGGUACAAAUUCCAAUUCCAUGAUAUUUUCUUCAUUCUUCUUCAGUUAAAGAGAUGUAUAGGUGUUAGGACACUACUGAACUGCAAUCCCAUGUGCAAGGCACAGUGUAAUAUCAUGUUUUGCUGAGGUAUACUUCUUAAGGCAUGUAUCUACAAGAAUUGAAAGAAAUGUAUUCAAUCUGAAUAAUGAAAUCUGAAUAAUGAAAUACAAAAAUGUUAUUUUAACUAGACAGUUUAAAACUUUGUAUGACCUUGCGGCUGACAGCCUAGUCUGUGUUGGAGGGAUCAGGGCUGUAUCCUGCCACUGCUCCAAAGUAACACUGAGCCACCCUAUGUCCUCUCUUCUCCUUUUCCUCUCUUGGAUUGUUGCUGUCUCCAUUCGUAUGUACAAUGGGAUGCAAUGGAACACCGAUUAGGCUAUAUUGUAAUAGAAAUUGUGGGUGGAUAAAACAACAACUUUUUUUUGUUUGCUUAUUUGCUUUACCUGAGUAACCCUUUAAUUCUGAUAACUGUAGAGAGGAGUUUAAAAAUCCUGGAGCUCAAAACGUAAAAUCCAAAAGGCAAAUCAAGCGAAAUCCUUCUCCCCUCCAUUUUGAAACCAUUGGCUCAUGGAAAUUUGAUUUGCAGUUUUACUGCAACUGCAGUCCAAGAACCUGAAGUGAAAUUCUUUUUUAUUCUAAAUAAAAGGAAAUCUGGCCUAUGAAGGGAAGUCAAGCUCAGACAUCUCUGUUCUCUUCUGCCAAGCUUGGAGAGCCAUGAAGGUGGCUUUGUGCUGCUGUCUGUCUUGUUUCUACAUCUUCUUUUGAUCUACUGGGCAUGGUAAUGAAAGCCUACUUGGGAACGGUGCUUCUCCACCAGCCAAAAAGCAGACCAUCCCAGCUGACACCAGAAACACCAAUGCGCGGAAGUGGGACUAUGGCAGUACCGACCCCCUUGUGAGGCAGCACAGAUCUACAUGGGCUGAAGAUCCAUCCUGUCAGUCACCCCUGGUAUACUGCUGGUUAAUGCUAGCAGGACAUCUGCGUCUCAGGUAAAGGAACAACACCUCCAGGCUCUCUCUUAGCAUUUCAAAGAGCACAAGCAUAUGCCACAAUUAUAUAGUGCUGCUGAGAAAAAACAGCAUGUGAGUGAAUCCCUAUUCUUAGCAGAGCAAGUGCUGGGUCUCACACAUGGAAUCCACCAGAGCCCUGCUGCAAACGGCUACCGCUGCCCUUCCCUUGCUUCUGCCCAGUGACCAGAGAUUGCAUCCUGCUCUAUUGUUCUCCAGCUGCCUGAGAAAGCCAAGCACAACAAAAGUGUCAGCCAGAUUGGCCCUGAUGCAUGUCAUAUGCUUUUCUGCACCCGUGAACUGCCUGCUUCUCUCACCAGCCUUGCUGUCAUUCAUUGUGAAGAGCAGGUGCAUUAGCAUCUUUGUGUAAAGGUGUAACUGUUGUUCACUGAGAGGAGGAUUGUCUCUGCACCUCUCUCCUUCUCACCACCUGUCCAGAAUGUGUCAUAUAGUGGCUGUAAAGGACUUCUUGUAAAUAAUUUCCCUGCAGGUGGAAGAUGCCCCAGAACUCACAUUACUCACACUUGUUAAAGCUGAGCAAAGAGCAAAAUAUCCCUCCACUGUCAUGAGGCUUUGGACUGGCUUUCCUCACUCUGUAGCCAGCUAAAAGCACUCUCUGACUCCACAUUUCAGGAUGAAGAAGAUUCUUGCAUGUCCCAGAAAGGCUCCUGAGCCCUAUUCCUGCUCCUCCAAGGUACAGAAAUUUUUAGGAUGGAGCAAAUCUCCAUUUUACUACCACACAAUUUUGGACAUGCUAAGAUCAGUCUAUAAAACUUAUCAUUAAUUAUCCAGUUGAUCCAGGAACUCACCUGGGAUCUGCUUUGUCAAGUUAUAUCCCUUCAUUUCUUUAAUUUAUCAGUCAUCGGAGCUUUACAUUUCUGUAUCAGUGGACAGAUGAGUUAAGGCACUGAGAUCCUUAACCUGUGCAUAAGGAAGCCACAGGCAGUUGUUAGGUGCCUGUGCUGAGUCAGGUGCCCAAAUACUUGGAGGUAAUCUAAGGUACGUGCUUGUUUGGGUUAAAAUGUGUUCUCAGCGGCAGAGUCACACAGCAUCUGGUGCAAUUUAACCUUGAUCACAAGCAGCCUUGUGAGAGAAGGCAUGGGUUGCACUCCUGCUAUUGUGAGCCAAUAAUACUAUAUAACUAAUAAAUAUAUUUACUUUCACCGGGCUAUUAAGUAGCUAUUUUCCUUUGAGUUUGAUCCUCAGUCAAGACACAAAACUUAAGGGCAAAGUGUUAUUAUUGCUAAACAUUAGUGAAGAGAUUACCUUUCUGUAAAGUAACCUCAGCUCUGCCCUGAAUAAAGAACCUCAUCAAAGCAUUGCACAUCACUCUUCAGUUCUGCCAUCCAGGCAAGUCCAGCCAACACCACUGGGAGAUGUUCCGUUUGCCCUGGUGUCCUUCCACCUUGUCAUUUUUAUUUUUGCUGUCAUUUGAACGCAGCUCAGAUUAAUCUCUUGUGAAUUUCAUUAAAUGCAGGUUCAAUCUGACUCCUUCUUGCCACUGCCAUUCUGAGAGUAAAAGCACCUCUUGUGAGAACAUAAAUUGGAUCCCCACAGCUACAGGAAAGACAUGAGAGCCUGCUGUGGCAGUACAGCCCUGCUCUGCCCUUUUCAUCUCCUACCAGUGCAUCUCCUGAAAAGUCCUGCUGUCGCGGCGAGGACAAUGUUGUUGAGGCAGAAACAGGAGGAAGACAAAAGGGUGAGGUUUGAGUUGAAGAAAUAUUCUCAGGAAGGGGCAUCCCAGGGACAUAUGCAUGCAGAAAGAUACAAGCCAGUAUCUGCAUGAGAACAAGGAAGAUGAUGAGUGGAGUAAGACAAGGAUCAAAGGCAAAGACAAAGCAGACUGUGAUUGUUUGCCACCCCAGCACCUAGAUGAGCACCGAGGGAGUUUGUCUGCAGGAGCUUCCCAGAGUCACGGUGGCACAGAAGGAGUCACCAGUCAUUUGCAGAUGGAGCUAUGAGGAUUUUUAUGAAUAGAUUCAGCUGGAAAAGGUCUGCAGUUGAGGAGGUUUGCAGUGAUGACUGGCACAUUGCAUUGUCCUAAGCUGAACCCUUCAUUUCAUCCAUCCUUAGAAGAGAGAAGCAAGUUACUUCACAACAUUGCAGCCUGUUACUCUCUCAUACAUGUCUUCGGAAGCUUCUGGGUGCAGAGACUGCCCUUAGCACACUAUUACUGCCUGUGACCAGAGGCCAAAUCCUCCCCUAUGCUUUUUUAGGACUGGAUGGCAUAAACUUCACAUGUACCACGAGCUUCCCAAUAUUUGUGGUGUAAUCUGAGGAUGAAUAGUACAGUCCAACUGCAAAAAUAGUGAGAACAUUGCUUGGAUGACAUAAUACUGGUAAAGAUCUUUCAAUGACCUGUCACAACAUGAGCUCCCAGCAGCAAUAGGGAAAACGCUGAUUUAGGCUGGAGGUGGUUGAAAGCUCACUCCUUUUAUUCUUCUUUCCAAGUCCUGUUAAAAAGAAGGAGUAAGAGGACCUCCUGAGUCUUCCCAAAAUCCAGUUCUUUGCAGUGCCAGAAGCAUCACUCAUGUCAUGCAAGAAGGAAGACUGAGAGAGUCCUGAGCUCCCUUCAUGGAACAAUGGUCUUUAUCCCCUUACCUGAAAACUGAGAGAUGUAAUAAUCUCUCCACUUCUGUUCUGGCAGGCUACUCUUCUACCACCAAGAUCACUUGGAGAGAUAUGCCCAAGCUUGCAUAACGAGACUCUGGAAGAACCAGGCCUGCAAGCUUGUCUGUACUGUUCUCUGUGGAGGAAAGGACACCAAAUGAAGAAUUUUUUCUUCUAUAAAUGCAAGAUCAAAAAGCUCUUUCUUCUCUUCCCUUCUGCUGGUGAAUACAGCUCAGAGUCUCUGUGCAGGAUUGCCAGCAAAAUUUAUUCAAAGAUGUCAGAAAUUCUGAGCAGUUCCAGUUGCUCAUCAUCACAACCACUGAUGCCAUACACCUCACUGGGCAUUCGGUUUCCUUUUGGGAAAUUCACUGUCUUCUCUUGGAAGUGUUACAGAGACAACUGAGGAAGAUGUAUGGAAUUUAUUACUUCUUUUCCCUAUUCCAGUACACUCCAGGCCUAUUAAGUAUUGGCAAAGUUCUGGAACAUUUCUGUGUGUUGACUUAGGUGACCAGUUUGAUCUAGGAGCUUCCAAUGCUAGAGUGAAAUCCUGACUAGUAAAGCUACUACUGAAAUUCAUGUAUUACAUGGGACUAUGCCAAGCCUAAGUCAGUCGAAAAUCUACUUGCUUUGAAGCCUUCAUGAUUACAGCAGGAUUCCAAAGGCAAUACAACGUGGAUUAAAUUUUCAGUAACUUCACAUGCCUUCUAAGCUUCCUCCAAAUUUCCAUGGAUUCUGGAGUACCAGGAAUGCAGAGAGGGAAGUAUAAGGGACUGGCAUUUUUGUAAAAUAAUCCUUGUUUGGAUGUACAAAGAGAAGCCUGAAGAAGUAUUCAGGUGACUCUACCACCUCCCUGGGCUGCCUGUUCCAGUGCCUGACUGCUCUUUUGGAGAAGAAUUUUUUCUCAGCAUCCAACCUGAUGUGCUCUGUGUGGGACUGAAGGGACGUGCGGUGCGAUUACUGCCUCCUGCUCUUCUGCACAGCUCCUGUUGCAGUGCUCAGGAGCCUCAGAUCUGUGCUCAAGGUGCUGUAGCUGGAAAAUGGUAACGGAGGAGCUGUGACACCUGUGCCGUGGGGACUGUAGUAGUCCUUCUCUUCUGAGAACCAGGCCCUACUCCUUAUAUUAUGAAGGCAUCUUCUGCACACAGUCUGCAUUGCUUGAUUUAUACACAAUCAUCUGGAGGGCCUCCACCCUUCUAUCUGUCAUCCCAAGAUGAGGUGUGGACAAUCCACUCUCCCAGUGGGAAAUUAAAGCAAUGUCUACAGGUCUUAAGAAAUGAAGAUCUAGUUUUUCCUUCGUGUGAGACUCCGUGGCUUACAGGAGGAGAAAGUCCACGUCCUACAGAUGAUGGGAUAUGAGAAAGCAACAGAAAAGGAAAGAAAAAAAGAAAGCAAUUCUGCAAACUGAGUUAUUACAAAUAUUGCAAGACUCAAAAUAAAUUGAAGCCUGGCACUACUGCAUGUUUUUGAAGUGGGAGGAGGUGAGACCUUCCUGCAAGCCCAGGAGCAGUGACUCUGUAUUUACUUCUGUAUUAUUGCUUCCUCAGUGUGGAGAAGAGAUCCUUUUAUUUUAUUUUAUUUUAUUUUUAAUUAUUAUUUUUUUAAAGAAACAGUGGAAAAAGUGUGUGUUCUGUACUUCAGUAAUGAUGAUUCACAAUGUGAUAUCAAAUAUUUAUGUACUUUAGGACAUCUGGAAAAUACUGACUGGAAAAUUAAGAUGAGAUUAAUGUUCCUCCUGAUGUUUUUAUCUUUUUCAUGCUUCAUCAUCAUGCCCACUGUACCAUGAGAUCAACAAGAUUAGAUAUCUUUGUAACCUGCUCACCAGCAGAUUGUGAUAUUCAGUCUGAGACAAGAAGCUAAGAACAACUGACCUGCAAGACUAAGACUAUGAUGUUGUGGCUCUGUAACCCUCUGCUGGACUAAACCUGAAAUUUGCUGAGCUGAACCUCACUGUGUGGUGUGCGUGGACAUCUUCAGAAGGCAAAGAGCAGAGCAAGCCAUUGCUUCUGCUGACAGCACUGGAAAGUCUUCUUCAGGAAAGGCUCUGGGUCUCUGAAAGCAUGGGGGAAAGUUCAUCUGGAAAAUGAGACCUCACCUGAAGCUCCCCCUCCUUACAGUUCUGCUUCUUCCUCUCCUGCUCAAGUCAUCCCCAUCAGCCUCUGAAGCAAAACACUGCACACAGAAUGAUGCAACAGAAGCAGAAGGGGUAUCUUCAGAGAAUGGUGACAGCAAAAGAGCAUUAAAUUAAGACUGUUGAUGCUGGUGGAAAUCAAUGCUGAAGAAGCAGCACCUCCCCUGCAUGCAUCGUGCUGCCAUUUGAAGAGAUCACAGCCAUCCCACAGUGAAAUAUGUCGGGGUAUGACAACGGCUGCCAGGAGAGCCCACUGCAGGAAAGGCAGUGUUCCACUUUGCUGCUUCAGGUCCCUUGUAUUAAGGGCAAUGCAGAAAAACACUGCUGCUCCUGUUGACCCAGUCCCCACGCUUUCUUCAGAGCUCUGUACUGCAAUGCUGAAAGGCUUUUAAGGUACCUUACAAAGACUUUUCUCACGCUGCGUCUGCACUACAGAAGUCUCAUAAGUUAUGUGUUCCACAGCCUGUUACUCCUUUCUACAACAAAGGCUGGGCUGGAGAGAUUUAUUGUGGCUGAAAAACAAAAAAAGGAGAGACAAAUAUCAGGUGUGCAUGUUUAUGAAUAUGGAAUUUAUGCAUUUUUUCAUAGAUAUGACUUACUAUUUUCCUAGCAGCUCUACCACAAGGGACCUCGGGGCUGUAGAUGGAGGCAAACAGCAUGCCUUAAUGUAAGAGAGAAAUCCUGCUAGCACUGUUCCAGAGUAAUUGGCAAAAUUAUGCAUUUGUGCCCCUUGGAAAGCCCAGCAUUGCAAAGCACCUUUUCAUCCCAAAUGAACACCUGAAUAACAUUUUUGAUAAUUUAUCCUGAAGCAAAUGCACAGUGUUUUUGAGAAGGUCGAACCUUUUUUGUUUUCUUUCACAUAGUGGUAAACAAUUUCACCUUUACUUUUUUGCCACAUAAUACAGUACAUCUGAGCAGCCUUUUCUAGCCUUAUAAAUACGACAGACUUCAUACCGUGUAGAAGAUUUUGAAUAAUUUACUCAUGAAAGUGUUUACAAAAUCUUCACAUUGCUGCAUGUUCCCACAAAUUGUUUAUAUGCAAAUAAAUCAACAUUUUUUUCCAUUAGAAA